CAACUGAGGCCCUAGCACCCCUGCCUGAAGGCCGCCCCAACCCCCGAACCUGCCCUGGUUCCUGACACAGAGGACUGGCUGGAAGAGGCGUCCUGGGCAGACACAGAGCUGCUUUUGGAAUAUCAUGGACAAGAGUCACACCUGCCUUCCAGAGCUGAGAUGAGCAAUAAUCCGUUUUCCUGACAUCAGAAUAAUUUGUAGGAUUGUCCUAGCUGUCCAUAUAGAGUAAACUUCUGGACCUGGUCCACACAGCCAUCACCUGAG